UGGCGGUCAUAGCGGAGUGAAAAAAACCCGAUCCCAUUUCGAACUCGGUCGUGAAGGCCUCCAGCGCCGAUGGUACUUAGUCUUAAGGCUUGGGAG
rnacentral:rRNA from 1 species